GACCUGCGGAAGGAUCAUUAAAGAGUAAGGGUGCUCAGCGCCCGACCUCCAACCCUUUGUUGUUAAAACUACCUUGUUGAUUUGGCGGGACCGAUCGGUCUCGAUCCGCUGGGGAUUCGUCCCAGGCGAGCGCCCGCCAGAGUUAAACCAAACUCUAGUAAUUUAACCGGUAGUUUGAGUAAAAAUUUUGAAUAAAUCAAAACUUUCAACAACGGAUUUUUUGGUUCUCGCAUCGAUGAAGAACGCAGCGAAAUGCGAUAAGUAAUGUGAAGUGCAGAAUUCAGCGAAUCAUAGAAUCUUUGAACGCACAUUGCGCCCCUUGGUAUUCGGAGGGGCAUGCGUGUUCGAGCGUCAUUACACCACUCAAGCUAUGCUUGGUAUUGGGCGUGGUCCUUAGUUGGGCGCGCCUUAAAGACCUCGGAGAGGCCGCUCCGGCUUUAGGUGUAGUAGAAUUUAUUCGAACGUCUGUCAAAGGAGAGGAAUUGGGCCGACUGAAACCUUUAUUUUUCAAGGUGACCUCAGAUCAGUAGA
rnacentral:rRNA from 1 species